rnacentral:rRNA from 1 species
GUCGAGAAUCUUUCACAAUGGGGGCAACCCUGAUGGAGCGACGCCGCGUGGAGGAUAAGGUCUUCGGAUUGUAAACUCCUGUCAUGCGUGAACAAGGUUGCUUGGUUAAUACCUGGGCAAAUUGAUGGUAACGCAAGAGGAAGAGACGGCUAACUCUGUGCCAGCAGCCGCGGUAAUACAGAGGUCUCAAGCGUUGUUCGGAAUCACUGGGCGUAAAGGGUGCGUAGGUGGCGGGGUAAGUCAGAUGUGAAAGCCCGGGGCUCAACCUCGGAACUGCAUCCGAUACUGCCAUGCUAGAGUACUGGAGAGGUGACUAGAAUUCUCGGUGUAGCAGUGAAAUGCGUAGAUAUCGAGAGGAAUACCAAAGGCGUAGGCAGGUCACUGGACAGUUACUGACACUGAGGCACGAAGGCCAGGGGAGCGAACGGGAUUAGAUACCCUUGUAGUCC